GACUGAUUGACAAGCGUUGCUGUGUUUACUUACAUGUUAAUGCAUUUUUUAGUAUUACUGCAUUCCUUUAAUAUGAAAGCCAUUUCUAUUUUCUAGACACGCACCUCGCAAGGAAGCUUUAUUGACUAUAUACUAAAACAAAUUGUUUUGAGUUCAGUUCACAUAGCAGUCUCUUAAUUCGAGCAACAGUUUAAUAACUAUUAUUUUUAACACUUGAAUAAUUCAAACUUAUAUAUGGCGAACGAAAACUGCAAACUAUAUAAAUAAAGCGGGCCAAUUUUCGACUCAUUCUCAACAUGCAGGAUACGCUGUUACAGCGAGUUAGUUUUUGGUGGCCAUGCAUGCAAAAGUGGGCCGCUUAUUUUGCUUACAAGUUACGUGGACGUAUAAUUAUUGCUGUUACAUAAACGUUCCGGUGUUCAAAAGCUGCGUAUAUAUAGCCGAUAAAAAUUGCGUGCUCAUUAUAAUCGCCGAUCACAUGGCUUUAUCACAGUCUCAAACCUUCAGACAAACAUAUCCACAUUCCUCUCCCCCCCUUCGGACAUCCUAAGACAUUUUUCC